UGGAAUUGGGGUGGCACUAUAGAAAGGAACAAAGGAGGAGAAUCCAAGGCAAAAGAGAUGCAAGCACAAAGACAGAGGAGCCAAGAAUGGCAGGAGGUGCCAGAAGCUAGGCUGAAUUACCUCACUUGAGCUAUGAAAAGACCCCACCCUCCCUGUCUGUGUGGCCCUCUUCUCUCCAUCCCCUUCCAAUGGAUUUGUGCCUGAACAGAAAUGGGGUUACGGACGGCAAGGAGAGCAGCAUGGGUCAUGAUGGUGUGAUGAAUGAGCUCAGAGCAAACUGUGGGUGACAGGUGUCUCCUGAGCUAUCACUCACAAGGUAAUAUGCUCAUUUCCAUCAGCGUCAGAUUCUUUUCAUUAUGCCCCAGAGAUGACCUGCAAUUACUAUGUGCUCGAUGAACUAAAACAGAAGCAAUCAUUCAUUUCCCUUUCACUUCAUCCGUGGAAGCUACACACCUGUAGGUUUUAAGUACACUGAACGGAUAACAAAGGAAACAGGAAGUUGCUCUCUCAAUUCUGUUCUACAUUUAUUGCCCUAUUAACAAAAAGUUUCAUGACAAAACAAUUAUAUAUACAUAUAUAAUUCUUAGGAAAGACUCUGAUGAGUUAGAUCAAACAGAAUUCCAUGCCAGCUGCCAUACCUGUUAAGUUGGACCAAGAGAAAUUAAAAAGAAAAUUCUCUCAUGAGCAUUUUCAAAUCAUAUAAGAGCUGUGUCUCAAGCAUGCUGAGCUCUGAUUUAAUUUGCAAUCAGAAAUUUGUCUUUAGGCUUCGCUAUUCAUUUGUCAUGAGAGGGUUAGAAAAUAAAGAAGUCACACAGGUCACCAUCUAAAGGAAUUUACAGUCUAGUUGGGAGAACAAGAACAAUGACUGUUGACUAAUAAUUUAAACUGGUGUUUUGCUAAGAUUGUAAGACCAAUCAUGUAAAUGAUCAUUGUUCUGGAUCAGAGAUCUAGAAAUGCUGUAUUUCAAAAUGCAAUAUUUACUCAAAUGUGUAUUACUCACAUUGUAGGGAUGACAGAUUUAUACCACUGCUCGACAUGAAUGAUAAUUUGAAAAAUAAUAAAACUUGCAGAAAAAAAUAAAAAUAGAGGCAUGUGAUUCUGUGACAGGCUAAUAAUAUAAUCUUCAUGAGAUCACCCCCUCCUUUCAUACAGAAUAACAUCCCAUCUUAAAACAUUCAAGUUACCUCAGUCACCUGUGGAGUUUAGAAAAUUCCACAAAGAAUAUUUCAUUUCUUAAGCUACAAAGUCACUUAGGCUUAAUUUCUAAAAAUGGGUUCAUCCAGACCAUUCAGGGAGGCACUGUUUCUUUCUGGGCUAGACCAAAUUUAGAUUAAUUAAUUUAUUCAACAAUGUACUAAGUACUUAGUAUACACCAAGUACUGAGCCGGCUCUGGUUAUACUACCAUAACGAGGCAAAUUUCAAUCCUUCCUGAUACAUGCAUUCUAAUAGCCAGGGAUGAUGGA